GGGGUUCUAGCUCAUCGGUAGAGCCUCGCUUAGCAUCGUCAAAACGGAAUUUGCGAGAGGUACUGGAUUCGACUCCCAGGUACUCCA